CCUACGGGUGGCAGCAGUGGGGAAUAUUGGACAAUGGGCGAAAGCCUGAUCCAGCCAUGCCGCGUGUGUGAAGAAGGCCUUCGGGUUGUAAAGCACUUUCAGUGGGGAAGAAAGCCUUGGGGCUAAUACCCUCGAGGAAGGACAUCACCCACAGAAGAAGCACCGGCUAACUCCGUGCCAGCAGCCGCGGUAAUACGGAGGGGUGCGAGCGUUAAUCGGAAUUACUGGGCGUAAAGCGCGCGUAGGCGGUCUGAUAAGCCGGUUGUGAAAGCCCCGGGCUCAACCUGGGAACGGCAUCCGGAACUGUCAGGCUAGAGUGCAGGAGAGGAAGGUAGAAUUCCCGGUGUAGCGGUGAAAUGCGUAGAGAUCGGGAGGAAUACCAGUGGCGAAGGCGGCCUUCUGGACUGACACUGACGCUGAGGUGCGAAAGCGUGGGUAGCAAACAGGAUUAGAUACCCAGUAGUC
rnacentral:rRNA from 1 species